AUAUUGGACAAUGGGCGAAAGCCUGAUCCAGCCAUGCCGCGUGUGUGAUGAAGGCCUUAGGGUUGUAAAGCACUUUCGUCCGCGAAGAUAAUGACAGUAACGGAAGAAGAAGCUCCGGCUAAAUUCGUGCCAGCAGCCGCGGUAAUACGAAUGGAGCGAGCGUUGUUCGGAAUCACUGGGCGUAAAGCGUGCGCAGGCGGUCGUGAAAGUUAGAAGUGAAAGCCCAGGGCUUAACCUUGGAAAUGCUUUUAAAACUCCACGACUAGAGUACUGGAGGGGUUGGCGGAAUUUCGAGUGUAGCAGUGAAAUGCGUAGAUAUUCGAAGGAACACCGAUGGCGUAGGCAGCCAACUGGACAGUUACUGACGCUCAGGCACGAAAGUAUGGGGAGCAAACAGG
rnacentral:rRNA from 1 species